UAGGGAAUAUUGCACAAUGGGGGAAACCCUGAUGCAGCGACGCCGCGUGAAGGAAGAAGUAUCUCGGUAUGUAAACUUCUAUCAGCAGGGAAGACAAUGACGGUACCUGACUAAGAAGCCCCGGCUAACUACGUGCCAGCAGCCGCGGUAAUACGUAGGGGGCAAGCGUUAUCCGGAUUUACUGGGUGUAAAGGGAGCGUAGACGGCUUAGCAAGUCUGAAGUGAAAGCCCGCGGCUCAACUGCGGGACUGCUUUGGAAACUGUGUUGCUGGAGUGCCGGAGAGGUAAGUGGAAUUCCUAGUGUAGCGGUGAAAUGCGUAGAUAUUAGGAGGAACACCAGUGGCGAAGGCGGCUUACUGGACGGUAACUGACGUUGAGGCUCGAAAGCGUGGGGAGCAAACAGGAUUAGAUACCC
rnacentral:rRNA from 1 species